CACCGUCUGGGCUCUCGGAACAGCAGGAGACGGAGGCGGCGUCUGUCUGUGUCUGUCUGUCUGUCUCUGUGUGUGUCUGUCUGUCUGUCUGUGUCUGUCUGUCUGUGUCGGUGUCUGCGCCCAGCCACAGCAUCUCCGAUCAACAGGAUCGAUUCUCGGGCCGCUGACGUGAGGAUCUGAGGCCGGAGCAAGGGGGAAGUAGGAACUAGGAAGGAGGAGGAGGCUAUGGACGAAGCUGGCGCCUCCAAGCUGAUCAGGAGCAAGAGACCGCUGCUAAAACAGUGGAUCGGCCGUGACCCAACCUACCUGAUGGAUCAUCUGGACAGCAACGAUCUGAUCCCUCGUGACAAGUAUCUGGAGGCUCGCGACAUCGAUGUGAAGGCGCAGAGAGCCAACUUCCUUAUCGAAGAUUUCAUCGACAGGAACGAGUGUCUGGUGCUCAUUAACGCGCUGUUUGCACUGAAGGACCGCUACCCGCAGCUGAAGGAAUGGU